rnacentral:rRNA from 1 species
CCUACGGGGGGCCGCAGUAGGGAAUAUUGCUCAAUGGGGGAAACCCUGAAGCAGCAACGCCGCGUGGAGGAUGAAGGUUUUCGGAUUGUAAACUCCUUUUGUUAGAGAAGAUAAUGACGGUAUCUAACGAAUAAGCACCGGCUAACUCCGUGCCAGCAGCCGCGGUAAUACGGCGGGUGCAAGCGUUACUCGGAAUCACUGGGCGGAAAGAGCGCGUAGGCGGGAUAGCAAGUCAGAUGUGAAAUCCUAUGGCUUAACCAUAGAACUGCAUUUGAAACUGUUAUUCUAGAGUAUGGGAGAGGUAGGUGGAAUUCUUGGUGGAGGGGUAAAAUCCGUAGAGAUCAAGAGGAAUACUCAUUGCGAAGGCGACCUGCUAGAACAUAACUGACGCUGAUGCGCGAAAGCGUGGGGAGCAAACAGGAUUAGAUACCCUUGUAGUC